rnacentral:rRNA from 1 species
AUAUCAGUAAGCGGAGGAAAAGAAACUAACAAGGAUUCCCCUAGUAACGGCGAGUGAAGCGGGAAUAGCUCAAAUUUAAAAUCUCGACGUUCUGCGUCGCGAAUUGUAGUCUAAAGAGGGUGAUCUAGGGUCAGUGGUAUGCUCAAGUCCCUUGGAAUAGGGCGCCAGAGAGGGUGGAGCCCCGUGAAAGCAUGUUGCUGGCCUCAAGUGAGAGCCUCUCAACGAGUCGAGUUGUUUGGGAAUGCAGCUCAAAGUGGGUGGUAAAUCUCAUCUAAGGCUAAAUAUUGGCAAGAGACCGAUAGCGCACAAGUA